rnacentral:rRNA from 1 species
UACGUAGGGUGCAAGCGUUGUCCGGAAUUAUUGGGCGUAAAGAGCUCGUAGGCGGUCUGUCACGUCGGCUGUGAAAUCCCGAGGCUCAACCUCGGGUCUGCAGUCGAUACGGCCAAACUAGAGUAUUGCAGGGGAGACUGGAAUUCCUGGUGUAGCGGUGAAAUGCGCAGAUAUCAGGAGGAACACCGGUGGCGAAGGCGGGUCUCUGGGCAAUAACUGACGCUGAGGAGCGAAAGCGUGGGGAGCGAACAGG